UUUAAAAAAUUUUACUUUUGCAUUGUGCACUCCUGAAAUCUUCAUCUUCAUCCACUUGUGCACAAUGUAGACGAAAGAGUCAAUGAAGUAAUGAAAUGAAUUUCGUUUAGUGAAUUAAUUUUUGUUGCUUUUUGUUGCUUUUUGUCUACGAUUUUUGUCAUAUACAAUUAUCAGUUAUUGAAUGGGUGAUUGGCUUUAUUGAAAGUCAAAAAUUUGAUACAACUUUCAACAAUGGAUUUCUUGGUUCUCGCAUCGAUGAAGAACGCAGCGAAUUGCGAUAUGUAAUGUGAAUUGCAGAAUUCAGUGAAUCAUCGAAUCUUUGAACGCAUCUUGCACUCUUUGGUCUUCCAAAGGGUAUGCCUGUUUGAGUAUCAUUAAUAAUAUCAAUACAAAUCAAAUCAAUCAAAUCAACUUGAUAGUUUGAUAUGUGUUUGGACGUUGAAGGUAAUGCUGGCCCUUGCGGUUAGCUCCUUUUAAAUAAAUUAGCAGAACCAUUUUAGGACUGGCUUCAGUUUGAUAAUGAACAUUUUAUCGACGCUGUUGCUUGUUACUUUUUGUUCAGCUGAUAAUUGUCCUUUUUUGGACUGUCUUUUAAAAGACAUCUAAUUCUUUAACUGAUCUCAAAUCAGGUAGGAUUACCCGCUGAACUUAAGCAUAUCAAUAAGCGGAGGAAAAGAAACUAACAAGGAUUC
rnacentral:rRNA from 1 species